CUCAAUGGCGGCGAAGUGCCCAUGCGGCCGGUCAACUGUCGGUUCGUUUGCCAUCUUCACUGCCUGCCGAAGUCGCCUGCUCAGCUAUUGAGGUGCCAUCAAGCCCUAAAGUGAGUGAAAAGCCGUACACGCGAAAGAAAGCGCCACUGCACACAAAUGCUGUAUUUGAGGACUCGCACCGGCAGCCAGCAGUCAACGGCCCGAGUAGCAAGUCAACACAUCUUCGUAAAGAAACAACUGUUUAUUUCCUAGCAGUGCAAACGUGGUGUUCGCCGGUCGGUACCGCGCAACUGAAUGUGCAGGCCCCAGAAAGUGCGCGACGGCGUGCGUCGGCCAGCGGGAAGCCGCUCCCUGCUUGGGAGCAAUGUGACACGCGUGUGCCGGCCAGGGUCCCGCGCGACGAGCAGGAGGUAGGCGCACACUAUGUACUGUGCUGCCGUUUUGUGGUUUCUGCCGCACGUAUAUUCUUGCUUGUAACUGUUCUUUUCUUUAUUCUAAAGCUUGUGCCUGUAAUGAAUCGUCGUAGGGUUUGACAGCACAAAUAAGUAAAUGUGAUAAUCGAACGACACCUCAUUUAAUGGUGUUGUCUUUCCCAUAUUUGUUACUCUGCUUAACAUGCUGAAAGGAGUUUCUAUUGAUUUUAUAUGUAUUCGCGCUGUCCUAGCUUCAGUCAUGAUAUCUGGAUCUGUCAAUUUUCUUUUUUAUCGGCGAGUAUAUUUGUUGUUAUGAACAUUAUUCAUGUGUGCAUUUUGGACUUAUGUUUAAGCUAGCAAUAAAAUAUUUAUUGUGUUUUGAA
rnacentral:lncRNA from 1 species